GCGAAACCUGAAGUGAAGUAGACGUCACCAUUGCAUCGCCGUCGUCAUCAUGUCAGCUUCACCUUCACCAUCACAACAGUCAGUAUUCAGCAGUCACCAGUGUUUCCAGAACCAAUGUAACUGGAUGGCAAACAGAUGCCGGUUAUCAUAUGGGCAUUCAUUUCAUUUUUAUACGCCUGAUUCGUCUAUGCAGGGCAGAACACUGGGGGGGAAAUUAUUCUCACCUAAUCGGACGAUGGAAACUUCAGUAGCAUGUGCUUCAACGAGAAUUGAUUGCUACCAACCGCAAAGGAUAUCGCAUUCGAUAGAACAAAGUAAUGCAUUCGAUUGGUCAGCCGACGUUUAAUCCUUCGCUUUACAAUUCAUGGUCGGCCCAUGACAGUACGAGUAACAGGAUGGUGGAGAAGGAAAGAUGUUCAGGGUUGUUGAUUUGCGUGGUUGGGAUAAUGAAUCUGGCCGCAGCAUCCUGAUAGAGCGAACGCCAAAAGCAGCGGAAAGACUUCCCUGCAAGUUGCCUCUCAUCAGGGUCACACGUUCAGUGUGGCCCUGAUGAUUGGAUGAUUGGUUGCCCUGUUGAUUGGUUGGAUUCUUAUUGUCCAAAGGGGCAUCUAUGGAAAUUCCUGACGAUGACGGUGAUACAGCCUUACAUUAUGCCGCUUUUGGAAAUCAGCACGAAGUUAUGGAACUGCUCAUAAAAAAAGGAGCCGUCAUUGAUAGUACGAAUCGCGGACGCUGCACACCUUUGCAUGUCGCUGUCAAUAAGCAGUUUCCUGCUUGUGUUCAGAUGCUCCUCAAAUACGGAUGGGACGUCAAUGUUCAAGACUCGUACGGAGACACGGCCCUGCACGGUGCAAUCGGCAAGGAAAAUGCGGAUAUUAUAGAAGCUUUAGCUUCGGCAUCAGCUGUCGAUUGUACACUGAGGAACACGCGGGGUUUCAAUGUUCUUCAUCACGCCGCUCUCAAAGGGAAUUAUUUCGCGGCGGAGCGCAUUUUGAUGCGCAGUCGACAGCUGGUGGAUGUGAAAAAGGAUGACGGAUUCGCAGCCCUUCAUUUAGCUAGUUUGAAUGGCCAUGUUCAGAUGGCCUUUCCCCGAUUAAAAUGAAUCGGGGCCGAGACCUACGAGUGAGACAAAAAUUACCAGUAAAGGAGGAUCGCCCGAUCAAUCGUUGCCACCUUCCGUCGGCAUUGAAUGCAUUGUCUGCUGUGAAAAUCCGCCGGAUGUGCGUUUUGAACCUUGUGGCCAUGUCGUCACCUGUUCCAAAUGUGCCCAACGGAUGAAAAAAUGUUUACAUUGUUCUCAAAUCUAAUUCCGCGUUGUGCUUUCUUGCAGACGGCACCCCGAUAUCAAGCCAAUCGUCUCAACAGCCCAGCCAAGAUCACUUAAAAUAUUUGGAAUCUCGUAUCGCUGAAAUAGAAGAGGCUUAUACAUGUUCCAUUUGUAUGGAACGCCGAAGGAAUGUGGCUUUCCUUUGCAGCCAUGGUGCGUGUGACAGCUGUUCGCUCAACUUUCGCCAUAUGUGCCGAAAGUUGAUCGCACGUAAAAUCAAUCUGUAUUGAACAAAAGGAGCAUGCGAACAAUGUUAAAGAAGGGGUUGGUUCAGCUGUUUGUUCCAAGCGAAAGGAAGUAAGCAGCGCUUUGCUGCUACCGUUUCCAGUUCAAAUAGAAUUUACUUGGAAAGUCAUAUUUCAAAACUGCUAGAACGGGACCUCAGACUAUGCAUUGUUUGGCCCAUCCUAUCCGCACCUCAUUUUUGUGUAAAUUUUAUUCUGGUUGAAUUCAAUGUGAAGUUUUUGUCUGUCUUGAAUUUAGCAUGAUGAUUAUGUCUAGUUAUACUGGAUAUAUUGUUUGUGCCUUUAAAACGUUUGCAAAAAAGAAUGUUCUUAGAUCUGACACCAUGUGUUACUGAAUUGAUUAAAGAUCCUUGAAUAACUCA
rnacentral:misc_RNA from 1 species